GAUGAAGAACGUAGCGAAAUGCGAUACUUGGUGUGAAUUGCAGAAUCCCGUGAACCAUCGAGUCUUUGAACGCAAGUUGCGCCUCAAGCCAUUAGGUUGAGGGCACGUCUGCCUGGGCGUCACAUAUCGUUGCCUGAUGCCAGUUUCCUCGUGAUGGGUGACUGUGCAGGGCGAAUGAUGGCUUCCCGUGAGCAUUGUUGCCUCAUGGUUGGUUGCAAAUUGAGUCCUUGGUAGGGAGCGCCGUGAUAGAUGGUGGUUGAGUGACGAACGAGACCCAAUCAUGUGAGACCCCUACCGAAUUUGGCCUUCAUGACCCACAUGCGUCUUUGGAACGCUCAUGACGAGACCUCAGGUCAGGCGGGGCUACCCGCUGAGUUUAAGCAUAUCAAUAAGCGGAGGA
rnacentral:misc_RNA from 1 species